UCAGGAUGAACGCUAGCGAUAGCUUAACACAUGCAAGUCGAGGGGCAGCACGGUGUAGCAAUACACUGGUGGCGACCGGCGUACGGGUGCGUAACACGUAUGCAACCUACCGCUAUGGGGGAUAACCCGGCGAAAGUCGGACUAAUACCCCAUAUUAUUCUUACCGGGCAUCCGGUAGGUCUGAAAGAUUUAUCGAUUGCGGAUGGGCAUGCGGAUGAUUAGCUAGUAGGUGGGGUAACGGCUCACCUAGGCGACGAUCAUUAGGGGUUCUGAGAGGAAGGUCCCCCCACACUGGAACUGAGACACGGUCCAGACUCCUACGGGAGGCAGCAGUGAGGAAUAUUGGUCAAUGGGGCGCUAGCCUGAACCAGCCAAGUCGCGUGAAGGAUGACAAGAUCUAUGGUUUGUAAACUUCUUUUGCAGGGGAGUAAAGUGCGACACGUGUGUUGUAUUGCAAGUACCCUGCGAAUAAGCAUCGGCUAACUCCGUGCCAGCCGCUGC
rnacentral:rRNA from 1 species